AUUGAAAUAAUGAAAUCCUCCUCUGGUCAUCAUCAGACACAGGCUAACCCUAAGAUCCAAAGAAUUUUCUCGAAAUUCACCAAUCCACAGGUUGAAGCCCACAGCUUUGAAUUACUCGUCAGAAGCAUACUCUCGCAGCAUCGAUUUUUGUACUUGAACCUUAUCACAUUACAAAACAAGUAAAAAACCUUGAUUCUCUCUGUUCCAUGUCGUCGGGAAGGAAGAAGCGGCAAGGGACCACGGCAAUUCCCGUGGAUGCAAACUCUACUCAGCAUGAAACACAAUCUGUGGAUUUUGGUGCUGAUUGUGAGGCCAAUGAGACCAAAAAAAUCAACUGGGUUGUGAAGAAUGAUGAUGGGGCAGGGGGUUCUUCCCCCGUUCAAGAAGGCGCACGUGGCAGAAAGAGUAAAAAGGAGACGGAAAAAAAGGUUUUGGAGGGCAAUUUGUCGGAGAAGAAUGAUGCUGAAGAAGAUAAUAACGGUGAGAAUGGUGUUGGGGUUGGAGGUUCUUCCUCCGUUAAAGAAGGCGUGAAGAAGCGUGGUGGAAAAAGUAAAAAGGAGGAGGAGGAGGAGGAUACGGAGAAAAGAAUGUCAGAGGGUAAUUUGUUGGAGAAGAAGGAUGCUCAAGACAAAAACCACAGUGAAAAGGGUGGGGUUUCUGAGCAGAGGAGCGGUAGAAAAAGAAAGAUGGUUAAGAAAGAUGAUGGCGAGUUUGAAAUGCCUGCGGAUUCUUCGCGAAGUGACAGGCAGUUUAGGCCUAGGGGCCGUAAAGUCAUUAAAGAAGAGGUGGAACCAAAAAUCAACAAGUGGGAUCCUAAGUGGAUUGAAGAGAUUUCCUUAAUGUGCCAUCAGUGUCAGAGGAAUGAUAAAGGCGAUGUUGUGAGGUGCACACUUUGUAAGAGGAAAAGAUUUUGCUUUCCUUGUUUAAAAAGUUGGUAUCCCCAUUUGAAAGAGUAUGAUAUUGCUGAGGCAUGUCCUGUAUGCCGUGGUAAUUGCAACUGCAAAGCAUGCUUGAGAUCCGAUGAACUCAUUAAGAAAAUGAAGAAAGAAACAGAAACCAUUAAAGAUGAGAAGGUUGAAUUCUCGAUACAUUUGCUGCAAGUACUUCUUCCAUAUUUAAGGCUGUUGGAAGAAGAACAGAUGAUUGAGAAUGAGACAGAAGCUAAGAUACGGGGGCUCUCAGUCUCAGAGCUAAAUAUAGUAAAGGCAGAUUUCACUAUGGGCGAGCGUGUGUACUGUGACAACUGCAAAACAUCAAUAUUUGAUUACCACAGAAGCUGUACAAAAUGCUCUUUCGAUCUUUGUCUCAGCUGUUGCCGUGAGCUUCGUAGAGGGCAGCUUGUAGGUGGUGCAGAUCCAGUUGUGUUGGAGUUUGUCUGGCAAGGUAAGGAUUACUUGCAUGGUGCUGAAAAAGAAGGUAAAAGGGUAAAACGAAAUGCAUCAAAUGCUGAUGCUAAGCCUGUAGUUUGUGAAUGGUCAAGAUCUGGGUGGCAUGCAAAAAGUGACGGUAGCAUUCCUUGUCCCAAAAUCAAUGAUUGUAACCAUGGUUUUCUUGAACUGAGAAGCAUUUUAGGCCAACACUUUAUCUCUGAGUUAGUGCGUAAAGCGAAUGAACUAGCGCAAGCAUACAAGCUUCAAGAUGUAGCUAUGACCCCUGAUGACUUCUGUUCGUGUUUGAGGCUUGACAGAAACUCAGAUGAUGUAUAUAGUAAUAUGAGGAAGGCUGCUUCUCGUGAAUAUUCCAGUGACAACUAUUUAUACUGCCCUCGGGCUGUAGAUCUACAGUACAAGGAUUUAAGGCAUUUUCAGUGGCAUUGGGAAAAGGGGGAGCCUGUUGUUGUCAGCAAUGUGCUUGAAUGUACAUCUGGUUUAAGCUGGGAACCACUUGUCAUGUGGCGUGCAUGCCGUCAGAUGAUUAAUACCAAGCGUGAACAACAUUUGGAUGUCAAGGCCAUUGAUUGCUUAGAUUGGUGUGAGGGAGAAAUUAAUAUCCACCAAUUUUUCACUGGGUAUACAAAAGGUCGUAAGGAUUGGCUCAAUUGGCCUCAGAUAUUGAAGUUAAAAGAUUGGCCUCCUUCUAAUUUAUUUGAAGAACGUUUGCCUCGCCACUGUGCUGAGUUCAUAUCUUCCUUGCCCUUCAAGGAAUAUACUGAUCCUCAUGUAGGUUCUCUUAACCUUGCUGUGAAGUUGCCUAAAAGUUGUAUAAAGCCAGACAUGGGGCCAAAGACAUAUAUUGCUUAUGGAUUUCCUCAGGAGCUUGGACGUGGUGAUUCAGUGACUAAGCUCCAUUGUGAUAUGUCUGAUGCAGUAAAUGUGUUGACUCAUAUUGCUGAAGUGGAAUUGGAAUCAGAUCAACUUACUGCCAUUGACAGGUUGAAAACAAAGCAUUUUAAGCAAGACAAAAGGGAACUACUUGGUGAUGAUCAGGAUGGAGAAACUAAUGUUGGCAUGCUUAAUAAUUCAUCUUCUACCUUGAUUGCUUUGGACAAGCAAAAUAGUGAUCAAGUCAUGGAACAUGAAGGUGGAUUAUGUGAUGGGAUAGAAGUUGAUCAAUUUCAUCAACCCUCUGGUGGUAAUGUGGUUGUCAUUGCUAAUGAGGAUUGUCUUUCAUGUGUAUCAGAGCUCAAAGAGGUUGACAAAGUAAAAAUAAAACAAGAACGUGAUUUGUUGUUUCCAGGGGAUGCUUCAGCAGGUGCCCUCUGGGAUAUUUUUCGGAGGCAGGAUGUACCUAAAUUGCAGGAAUAUCUGAAGAAGCAUUUUAGAGAGUUCAGGCAUAUCCAUUGCUGUCCUUUGAAGCAGGUUAUUCAUCCCAUCCAUGACCAGACCUUCUAUCUGACUAUGGAGCAUAAAAGGAAGCUUAAACAGGAGUAUGGAAUUGAGCCCUGGACUUUUAUUCAAAAGGUAGGAGAUGCUGUUUUCAUUCCAGCUGGUUGUCCUCAUCAAGUCAGAAAUCUGAAGUCAUGCAUUAAGGUUGCAUUGGAUUUUGUCUCUCCUGAAAAUGUUGGGGAGUGCUUUCGAUUAACAGAGGAAUUUCGUACACUUCCAAUAAACCACAUGUCUACCGAGGACAAAUUGGAGCCUGUUUCAAUUUGGUAUCCGAGCUUUGGAAAGGAAAUAUCCUCCGCAUCCUCUGUCACUAUCAGUUUCAGUACCAUGACUGAAGAAAACAUUUUUCAUAACAAGAAAAUUGAGGAAAACGUUUCUGGUAACAAGAUGUUGUCCAUUGUGACCGUCCAUGAUACUUCUUUCCAAUUAUUUUUGUUAAGUUGGAUGGGCUUAACUAUCAUGUGGGGUCUCAAAUCAUGGAGAUGUAUAUUGUUGGCCGAAGGAGAAAAAGAUACAUAACAGGGAUGAAGGUUGUGUCUCUUGAGAUAGACUCGAGCUAUGAUGAAUGGGAGGCUGAAGGUUGGUAAAGUCUUGGCUCAUCAAAUCUAUUCGAAAAACUGAUGGAACAUUUUGUGCAAUGUGGAACAACUAAAGAGGUUUGGGAUGUUGUCAAGAGGAGCCAUCUUGAUGUCUUAGAUUCUUCUCAAAUUCAUGAAUUGAUGAAGAAAUCAUUCCAAUCUCGUCAAAGGGGCGGCUAGCUUUUGAAAUAUUACAAGUUAAACACAUUGUUGAGGAGCAAGGUGUGUCCAAACGAUAUUGAGAAAAUGAGAUGGUGUGUCCAAACUAUAUUCCUUGCUGGUCUUGAUCACAGUCUGGAUGAAGUCAGUGGUCAGGUGAUGGCUGCCUUUUCUUUACCAAGCUUCGAAGAAGCCUAUCAAUAUGUUUGUCGUGAGGAAUAGAGCCAACUCACCAUGGGAAUGGAAGAUAGAUUAGAAGCAUCAGCCUUAGUUGCUCAAAAGAAUAACUCAAUCAGCAGUUGCCACUUGCUCCUCCAACUCCUUUUCUUGUUUAUGUAAUUGUAAUAGUACAAUGCAUACUGUGGUUGUUCGUUGGAAAAAGCAUGGCUAUCCGGUAUGGUAUAAAAUUAAGCAAGCUGAAAGAAAAUAUAAAAAAUGUACACAGGUUGUUGUCGCAGAUACUCUGCCAACUUUUGCUUAUCACGUGACUCAGGUGUCUCAAGAAGAAGGUAAUUACAGUUGGUUAUCUUUCCUAUUAUUAAUACUAACACUUGGAUUGUUGAUUUAGGGGCUACUAAUCAUAUGAGCAAAUCAUCGCAGUUUGACUCGAAUUCCUUCAUUGAGUUUUGUUCAGGUUGCUAAUGAGACUUUUAUGCCAAUUCAAUGUGCAGGUUAAAGUUUUUCAUUUUGACAAUGAUCGUGAGUAGGGAUGUAAAUGCGCCGAGAUAUUUGUGAACUAUUCUGGCUCAACUAGCUAAAUACUCAAUCAAGCUUGUUUGUUUAAUUAAAUAAACAAACUCAAGCUUGAGAUUGAGCUUGAUUAUUUAAAUGAGCCAAACCCAUGCACGAGGAACUAGACACUAAGAAUGUGUGAAUAGCUGGUUUAUAUAUAUACAUAUAUAUUAUAAUAUUAAUUCUAUGAAAACACUUUGUAUAGUAUUCUACUAAUAAUUUUUAUAUAAAAUAAUAUUUUUAUUUACUAUUUAUAAUUCUUCUGUGAGAUAAAAUUUAAAAAAGAGAAAUAAUGUUAAAGUUAAAAAGAAAAGAAGACAUCUCAAUUCCUUUUGAUUGAGCUAGCACAUGAUGGGCAUGAUGGGGUGCUCGUGCCGGGUUGAUGUGAUGUAGGUGGCACAAGAUUGACAUUUAGGGUUAAUGUGAUCAUGUUAAAAAUAACUUAAAUAAAAAUUAAAUUAUAAAUGAAAUAAACAAGGCAAGCUCAAGCUUGUUUUUUUUAACAAGCCAAGCCUAAGCUUCAAGAGUUUGACUCAUCUUGGCGCAUUUACACCCUAGUUGUGAGUUUGUUAAUCAAUCUCUUGCCAAGUUUUUCAAGAAAAUGAAAUUCUCCACCAAACAUGUAUACACACCACAACAAAAUGAUGCAGCGGAGCAAAAAGCUGUCACAUUCUUGAAGUGGCUUGAGCUUUGUGUUUCAUUGUAUAUGUUCCUAAACAUUAUUGGUUUGAUGUUGGCAUGAUUGUUGUUUUCCUCAUAAAUUGAAUGCUUGUGCGUGUCACUGACUAUCAAAAACCUUUGCGGAUGUUAUCCCAAUUUCACUCGGUUCCUUCUCCCUUAAAUAUUUGUCCUAGUGUUUUUUGUUGUGUCUAUUAUAUUCAUAUUCACUCACACCAUAGGGAUAAGCUUGAUUCACGUGCUCUAAAAUGUGUUUUUCUUGGUUAUUCCAACUCUCAAAAGGGAUAUAAAUGUUACCAUCCUCCCACCGGAAAAUAUUAUGUUACAAUGGAUGUUCAAUUUUGUCAACAUGAGCCUUAUUUCUUUGGGGCUGUGUCUUCAAUUCUCUUCAAGGGGAAAUUGAUAGUAAAGAGGGAGCAAAACUAUGGCUAGAUGAAAAAAGAAUUUGGAUUUCAGAUAGCCUUAUGAAAGACAGUUGAUAAUCAAGGACAACCUAAGGAGUAUCUAGCAAAUGGUCUGGAGAAGUCUAUAGAUGUUUUGGAACCUUUGGCAGUUGAACCUGAACCUAGUGAUGAAAGGAAGAGGCGUAUAGGCUUUUCAAGCAAGUUUAUUCAAGGAGGAACAAAGAUAGUCAUUCUAAUACCCCCCUUAAUGAAACUACCAUGCCAUCAUAUGACACUUUUGAGACUAAUUUUAAGGUAAGAUUCUUCUCUACUUUCCUUGUCUCUUGAAAUUUGUAUCUUAAGUGCGCCAGUUAAGGAUGAAGGUAGGGGAUAUGCUCUUUGUGAUCGUAAAGCACUUGAUAGGUUUCAAUGGUAGAUGAAAUGCAAGAACUCCAAAAGGAUUCCAUAUGGGACAUUGUCGAGCUUCCUAAAGAUAAGAAACAUUGUCGAGCUUCCUAAAGAUAAGAAGACGGUAGAAUGUAAGUGGAUUUUCUCAAUAAAGUACAAUUUAGAAGGAACAAUAGACGGGUACAAGGCUAGAUUGGUUGCUUAAAGAUGCCCCUAAACUUACGGAAUUGACUAUAAAGAGAUCUUUGCUCUUGUGACCAACAUGUAUACUGUUUGAGUAAUACUCUCUUGUAGUUAAUCUAGAUUGGCCUCUUGUAGUUAAUCUAGAUUGGCCAUUAAGGCUAUUUGAUGUGAAAAAUGCCUUUCUACAUGGUAAUCAAUCUAUUGGAAGAGGUGUGUAUGGAUUUACACAAACGGAGGAAACGUAUGCAAAUUGAAUAAGGCUUUAUAUAGGAUAAAGUAGUUACCAAGGGCAUGGUUUAGGAGAUUUAGCCAAUCUAUGAAGGAGUAUGGGUUCAAGCAAGCUAUGGAAGAUCACACAGUUUUACAAGAGUUUGGCACUAAUAUUACCCUCCUUAUUUUUUAUGUUGGUGACAUGAUUGUCACAUGUAGUAAUCUUCCUGAGAUAGAGGAGCUUCGAGACUAUUCGGCUAAGUAAUUUGAAAUGAAUGACUUGGGUGCUUUGAAAUACUAACUUGACAUUGAAGUAUCUUGAUCUUGGACGAACCCUACCUCUAUCAAUUGAGGUAUACAUUAGAUCUCUUGGUCAAAAUAGUUAACUUGGCUUGCUAAUAUGUUGAUACAAUUAUUGAGGUGAAUCAUGGCAUGAGUGUUUAUCCAGAUCAGAUUCCAACAAAGAGAUACCAAAGGCUGGUCAGAAGUUGAUCUAUCUAACUCACACAAGACCUAAUAUAUGAUGUUGUUGGUGUCAUGUGUCAGUUUAUGCACAACCUUAGUAAGUGACACGAGUGCAAUGAAUUGGAUCUUGGCUUAUCUCAUGUUCUCAUUGGGAAAAGGCAUAUUGUUCUCAAGACAUGGACAUCUAGACAUUCUUGAUUAUUCAUAUUUUGCUAGGAAGAAAAUCUACAUCAGGUUACUUGUCAUUUGUUGGAGGCAAUUUGGUAACUUAGAGAAGUAAGAAAUAGAAUGUAGUGUCAUUGUCUAGUGCAGAAGCUGAAUAUUAUGCUCUUCAUCAUGAAACUACAGAGCUUUUAUGGCUGAAAAUUCUUCUAACUGAACUUGAGUUUGGUUUAGAAAACCUAUGACACUUUUUUGUGAUAACAUGGCAGACAUUAAAAUUGCAAAAUUCCAGUGCAACAUGAUCGGAUGGAGCAUGUUGAACUUGAUAGGAAAUAUAUUAAUUGCAACCUGGAUGCUAGCAGGAUAAAGGUUCCACAUUAAAAAGUGCCAAUCAACUAGCUGAUAUAAUGAGUCAUGCUGUUCCAAGUGGUUCAUUCUAUUCAGUACUAUCCAAGUUGUGUGAUAUCUAUGCACCAACUUGAGGUGGAGAGUUGAUGUGUACAUACUGUAAAUAUUUUGUUUCCUUAGGAUUAAUUGAUUAUAAUCAAUUUAUUAAUUGCUAUUUCCUAGAAUAGAAAAUUGUGUACUGUGUACAAAUACCCUUGGAGGUAUAUGGAAUAAUAUUAUGACUGACUGUCUCAAUUCUCUCAACACUUUUUGUUUUUUGAACUCUCGAAUAAUUCUUCAUAUCUAUACCUUGAUACCUUGAAUCAGGAUUCAGGAGCUUUAAAUCACAUGAUAAAUGCUACAACCUGAUUGGCUAAUUUUCCCCAUUUUGACUAGUUUUGUCCUUCCUGCCUUGUUUAUAGUUUCCUUUAACAGCAUUGAAUUUGACAUGGAAUCUAUUGGGAAAGAUUUGCUUUCCAUAAAUAAAAGGGUGCAUAAGUCCGAAGAACUCAUACAUUGUCAAUGCAAAUGCAUAAACUGUCUUCUACCCACUUAAAACUGUGUUUUACUUCUCUCCAUAACUGGUUUUAUGGAACCCAUUUUGAUCCAUAAAAAAUCAAGUAUUUUAUGUUUGGGACUGUCAACUUUUGAUAGCAACUUGCUCUUUCAAAUUCAAUGUCCUUUGGACAUCAAAUUGGGCUUGAAGGACUAUUUUGGGGAAGGGAAUGAGUAUUUACACUUGAACUCUUAAGGUAUGUGGUUAGAAGAGUCCAAGCUAUUUUCCUCGAGAAAUUAUUAGGUAGUCGAAGUCUACUAAGUGUUCAUGGUCUUAGUCAAUCACUAUAUGACAUGUAUUUUAAGUUUUUAAACUUUUGAAAAAGACUUGAUGACACUUGAUUACAUGUCAUAGAGACUAAUUAGGGAUCAUGUAGUCCAGAUCCACCCAAUAAUUUCUCAUUUUCCUUGGCUUAUGGUGGGUGUGGUUUCAGCUUAUUAGAUGCUUGGUUCUGAAAAGUCAAGUCAAAAUGCUUUAAGAGCUAACGUUGGCAAUAUGCAAACAGUUGUGUUAUAAUAUUGUAAUGUCAAGAGUUUCGUAUAUGCUGCUUUUGAAACAGGUGAAAAAGAUGACGGUAUAUGCUAUGCAAGAUGUGAUCGGAAAAUUAGAGCAAGCAAGGUCCGGGAAAACCAAGGUUCCGGAGUAAAUAUAUCUGCAACAGAUAAAAGCCAAUUGGAGGUGUAAAUUUUGAGUCUAUUAACUUAGCUUAUUCAGGUGUGGUGAUGUUGGGUACUGUUUCAACGGUUCCAUAUUUUAUUUUCGUAACAACUCCUGGAAACAUCUAAUAUGACUUGAACGGGGGUGUACAUAUAAUUUUCAUGAAUAGGGUACAUUUUUAGCUUCUGAAUGCAUAGAUGAUGAUAUUCAAUGUUGCAUAA